rnacentral:rRNA from 1 species
UUGUCUCAAAGAUUAAGCCAUGCAUGUCUCAGUACAAGCCGAAUUAAGGUGAAACCGCGAAAGGCUCAUUAAAUCAGUUAUGGUUCCUUAGAUCGUACCACACUUACUUGGAUAACUGUGGUAAUUCUAGAGCUAAUACAUGCAAACAGAGCUCCGACCGGAGACGGAAGGAGCGCUUUUAUUAGAUCAAAACCAAUCGGUGUCGGGUUCGCCCGUCAUCGUACAACCUGGUGACUCUGAAUAACUUUAAGCUGAUCGCACGGUCUCGCACCGGCGACGCAUCUUUCAAAUGUCUGCCUUAUCAACUGUCGAUGGUAGGUUCUGCGCCUACCAUGGUUGUAACGGGUAACGGGGAAUCAGGGUUCGAUUCCGGAGAGGGAGCCUGAGAAACGGCUACCACAUCCAAGGAAGGCAGCAGGCGCGCAAAUUACCCACUCCCGGCACGGGGAGGUAGUGACGAAAAAUAACGAUACGGGACUCAUCCGAGGCCCCGUAAUCGGAAUGAGUACACUCUAAACCCUUUAACGAGGAUCAAUUGGAGGGCAAGUCUGGUGCCAGCAGCCGCGGUAAUUCCAGCUCCAAUAGCGUAUAUUAAAGUUGUUGCGGUUAAAAAGCUCGUAGUCGAAUUUGUGUCCCGCGCCGCCGGUUCAUCGUCCGCGGUGUUAACUGGCGUGCCGCGGGACGUCCUGCCGGUGGGCUUAGCUCUACGGGGCGGCCCAACUCAAUCCCGCCGCGGUGCUCUUCACUGAGUGUCGAGGUGGGCCGGCACGUUUACUUUGAACAAAUUAGAGUGCUUAAAGCAGGCUAAAACUUCGCCUGAAUACUGUGUGCAUGGAAUAAUGGAAUAGGACCUCGGUUCUAUUUUGUUGGUUUUCGGAACCCCGAGGUAAUGAUUAAUAGGAACGGAUGGGGGCAUUCGUAUUGCGACGUUAGAGGUGAAAUUCUUGGACCGUCGCAAGACGAACAGAAGCGAAAGCAUUUGCCAAAAACGUUUUCAUUGAUCAAGAACGAAAGUUAGAGGUUCGAAGGCGAUCAGAUACCGCCCUAGUUCUAACCAUAAACGAUGCCAGCUAGCGAUCCGCCGACGUUCCAUUAUAUGACUCGGCGGGCAGCUUCCGGGAAACCAAAGCUUUUGGGUUCCGGGGGAAGUAUGGUUGCAAAGCUGAAACUUAAAGGAAUUGACGGAAGGGCACCACCAGGAGUGGAGCCUGCGGCUUAAUUUGACUCAACACGGGAAACCUCACCAGGCCCAGACACCGGAAGGAUUGACAGAUUGAGAGCUCUUUCUUGAUUCGGUGGGUGGUGGUGCAUGGCCG